rnacentral:rRNA from 1 species
AUUGAACGCUGGCGGCAGGCCUAACACAUGCAAGUCGAGCGGAUGAAGGGAGCUUGCUCCUGGAUUCAGCGGCGGACGGGUGAGUAAUGCCUAGGAAUCUGCCUGGUAGUGGGGGAUAACGUCCGGAAACGGGCGCUAGUACCGCAUACGUCCUGAGGGAGAAAGUGGGGGAUCUUCGGACCUCACGCUAUCAGAUGAGUCUAGGUCGGAUUAGCUAGUUGGUGGGGUAAAGGCCUACCAAGGCGACGAUCCGUAACUGGUCUGAGAGGAUGAUCAGUCACACUGGAACUGAGACACGGUCCAGACUCCUACGGGAGGCAGCAGUGGGGAAUAUUGGACAAUGGGCGAAAGCCUGAUCCAGCCAUGCCGCGUGUGUGAAGAAGGUCUUCGGAUUGUAAAGCACUUUAAGUUGGGAGGAAGGGCAGUAAGUUAAUACCUUGCUGUUUUGACGUUACCAACAGAAUAAGCACCGGCUAACUUCGUG